AGUGAACGCUGGCGGUAGGCCUAACACAUGCAAGUCGAACGGCAGCACAGGAGAGCUUGCUCUCUGGGUGGCGAGUGGCGGACGGGUGAGGAAUACAUCGGACUCUCCUCUGUCGUGGGGGAGAACGUAGGGAAACUUACGCUAAUACCGCAUACGACCUACGGGUGAAAGCAGGGGAUCUUCGGACCUUGCGCGUGUGAAUGAGACGAUGUCGGAUUAGCUAGUUGGCGGGGUAAAGGCCCACCAAGGCGACGAUCCGUAGCUGGUCUGAGAGGAUGAUCAGCCACACUGGAACUGAGACACGGUCCAGACUCCUACGGGAGGCAGCAGUGGGGAAUAUUGGACAAUGGGCGCAAGCCUGAUCCAGCCAUACCGCGUGGGUGAAGAAGGCCUUCGGGUUGUAAAGCCCUUUUGUUGGGAAAGAAAUCCAGCUGGCUAAUACCCGGUUGGGAUGACGGUACCCAAAGAAUAAGCACCGGCUAACUUCGUGCCAGCCGCCGCCGUAACAC
rnacentral:rRNA from 1 species